rfam:Candidatus Raymondbacteria bacterium RIFOXYD12_FTLL_49_13 rifoxyd3_full_scaffold_811, whole genome shotgun sequence.
AAGAGCCGUAUGCGGGAAAGCUGCUCGUACGGUUCCGCGAGGGGCUGGGCAGGCAACUGCCCGGUCUACUCAAC